ensembl:lncRNA
ACUGGGGUUCCUAUGAUGAUGAGUGUCUACCCAAUGUCCCAAGCCAAAAUCCAGAACAGCAUCCCUAACAUUGGACAGCAAAUGGUUGAAGUGAUGAUGUUUCCUGGACUCUGGAUUAGCCAUGAAGGACAAGUUCUCUCUGUGGAUUUUGUAACACGACCCUUUAAAGAUGUAUCCCAUGCCAGAGUUCAGAUUUUUCGGCCCUACUGCAGCCCCAGCCAUCACCUUGUCCCACCAGGGUGUAGCUUCCUUGCUAAUCCCUUCAGCAGUUGCUCUCUGAUUCCAUUUUGCAACACAACCGGGGGCUGUUCGUAUGCACACUACUGGUGUCCUCUACUGGAGACUUGCCUGCCUGUAACAAGUCCAUGUACUCCCUACCACACAAGCACUUGGGGGAGAACCGUCUCACUGCCUCCUCGCUACAUUUCAACCCCACCAUUCUUCCAGCUAAUGGUGGACAUACCCCUGACCCUACCUCCAAACUCU